AGGAAGAAACUGGGGGUGAAAAGCCUCUCAAUCAUGGGAUCCCCUGAAGUGUUUACCCCUUCCUUAUAAUCCUCACUCCCCCUCCCCGUAACCCUGAAAACCAAAUUCACCCCUUCCCUGUGCCUGUAGCCGAGGAUCGGGGCCAACAAGGUGGGCGGUGAGUGCCCCCCCCCCCCUCCCCAAGAACACACCGCAGGCCAAGACAAGAAUCAGAACAAUGCAGGAGGGAUUUGGAGAAUUUCCCCAUGAGGACAGGGGACCACAGCUCAAGAGAAGCAGAAUCUGUGUUCCCUCUCUGGGAAGUCCCUUUGGGACAAAGGCAAGGCGGGUAGUGAGGUGUGGAACUUUAAGAAGAAAAUUAGAUCUUUAGUAGAAGACCCCAUCAGUCUAGCAGAGUAGUUAGAUCAGUUUUUGGGCCCUAGUUAUUUUUCCUGGACGGAAAUGAUGUCCAUAAUGAACAUUUUGUUUAGCAAGGAAGAACGAGGGAUGAUCAUAAGGGCAGCAGUGCAGGAAGGGGAGAGAAGAAACCCACCCAGUCAAGGGGUAGUUCCAGCUGAACAAAAGUUCCCUAAUAUAAAUCCCAGUUGGGAUAACAACAAUCCUGCACAUAGGAAUAAUACAAAAUAUUUGAGGGAACUGAUUGCACGUGGGAUUAAAGAAGCUGCCCCUAAAUCUCAAUGGUGUGAGAUCCAGUGUCCCCAGGUUGGCCAGAGUGGGUGCAGGCCACAGCAGCAGCCGCUCUCUCGGUAGAAAAGAGUCAAAAGUUAACUUUCGGAGGGUUUCUGGUUGUGAAUACUCCCCAUCAGGUUAAAACAGCUUUGACUCAGAAGGCUGGACGGUGGCUAACGGAUUCCAAAAUCUUAAAGUACGAAGUGGUAUUGGUUGAAGAGGAUGACCUAUUAUUAACAACAGCCCCUUGUUUGAACCCCGCCGCCUUCCUCUGGAGGGGCGAGGACCGAGCCCCUGAUUUGGAACGUGACUGCCCAGAACUAACGGAUUACCAAACCAAGAGACGGCAGCACGGAGAGCCGAAAAGGGGUGGACACGUUCUACGUGGCUCAAAGGACCAACUGGACCCUGGAAGAGCGUGGCGAGUGGCAGAUCCGAACCACUGAGGAUCCCCUACGGAUGGCAUCCAAGGAAAAGCACGCAUCUACCUUGUAAUCCCAGCCGGGAAUAAGGCAAGGAAAUGGAGGUGCCACCUGCUUUCUCCACUGCCCCGGUACGCAUACAGCUCGCCUCUCACGACGGGGUAAGAAAGCUACCAGACUGUUGGGAGAAUUCAACUUAUGCACAAACGCCUUGGAUGGAACCAACGAUGGUGCAGGAAAUUACUCAGCAUUAAGUACCCCCGGAGCAGACGUGCGCUGGCGUUGUGGAGGAAAAAUCCUGCAACCCAUCCUACCCGCAAAUUGGAAGGGGACGCGUGCGUUUGUUCAGUUGGCCAACCCAUUCACCCUGGCAUUUGAAAAAAGUUCAGAUCCUUUAAGCAGGCGAGCGAAGAGGAGCCUAGGAGUAUCAUCCGAUGAUCAAAUGUACACUGACUCUGUUGGAGUUCGUCAGGGAGUCCCAGACAAAUGCAAGGCAAAGAAUUGGAUAUCAGCAGGGUCUGAGUCCUUUUUAGUCUGAUGGGUAACUGUAAAUAAGAAUGUAGACUGUAUAAAUUAUAUUUAUUAUAAUCAACAGAGGUUUAUAAAUUACACCAGAGAUGCGGUAAAGGGGACUGCUGAGCAAUUAGAUGCUACAAGUAGAGUGGCCUGGGAAAACAGAAGAGCUCUAGCUAUGAUAUUAGCCCAGAAAGGAGGUGUCCGUGUAAUGCUGGGGAACAGAUGUUGGGCUUUUAUUCCCACUAGCACAGCCCCUGACAGGACUACCACUGAGGCGAUGCAGGGACUUACUACCUUGGCGGGUGAACUAGCAGAGCGUUCAGGCACAGACGGCUCACUGCCUGGGUGGCUGGAUUCCCGGUCUGGGAAGCGGACGGGGACGGCCGUGCCUAUCCUCACCUCUCCGGAGCAGCAGGUGCCCUAACGGCAGGGGGAUGCUGCACAAUCCCUCAUGCCCGAGGACUGGUCCAACGCCUUAGUGGAAACGCCUUCUCAAAACAGGUGCCUCGGGGCCCGCCUCCCCAUCUUGACAAGGUGCUGUUACUAGAAGAACAGGAAGAUAAGGACGCGACAGACGCCCCGUCAUCGGAGGCAAAACACUAAAUCAUGUAGUCGAGACUAGAAGCUGCUUGUGGAGCAAUACCCUGAGAAUAUGCAAAAAGCAACAGGACUAUAAAUAAAAACAGGGGGGGAAAUGUAUGGGAAAGAACGUUGUUUUCCCAUGGCGAGCCUGGUAAGGGUGAAGGGGCUUAAACGCCUGGCUUUUGGUUAAAGAACGAGUGAUGUGUGUCGCUGGCGCUAACAUACUAACUGGAACAGUCGGAGGUAGCUGGAGACACCGAAAGGCGUGGGGACCCCGCACGUGUGAACGCCCCCCCUUAGCACGCUUGCUUAAUGAGUUCACGCAUAUUAACUGCUCCGCCCUGGGCGGGGCUAAGGCUCCUGUUACUGAACAUGCCAGGAACAUACGUGCAGAGGCGUGUCGGCAGGCGGUCCGGGGAGCCUGCACGCCCUGGAGUACUCGGCACAGGAGGGGUCGGGGGAGGGAAAAGGGCUACAGCCCAUCGCCUGGCGUCCACUCGGGGCGUCCCCCGGUCUUGCAAGAACGAAAUAAAAUGUGCUUCACGGGUGAGACCUGCCGGGGCCGCUGGUGGUUGAGGUUUGCUCGCGGGGUGCAACCCAAGAGCCGCGGCGUGACGGGGUCACGCGUUGCGGGGGGCACCGAGGGCGACGGGGAAAGGAUUCGGUGUGCUGUGCAGGAGCGCUGGGAGGGAGGGGGAAACGGGGAGGAUAAAGACCCACAGUUCAAUGGGGAAAGGGAGGAGAUAAUCAAGGGCACAGAAAAACUGUCGUCGCUCCAACCGUCACAUGGAAACGUUGUUUUGCGAGGAGGGAUUUAACAUCAACAAAGGGCGGAGGAGAGCCAGGGAAGGGACAUCGAGGGGCACCAGGCGCGGAGAAGGGCGGCCCCCGUUUUCCGAAGGGGGGGGGGGGGGGUCGUCCUCGGGGCCGCGCUGCCGCCCUGCCGCGGCACCCACCGCCGGGGCGAGGCCGAACACCAGCCUGUCACCGCGCGCGCCCCGGGGGGGGGUGACGCCGGGGCAGCGGGAGCCCUUCCGCGAGCGGGGAGGGGGGGCUGCCACGUGCCCUGACCCCGCCGCGCCCCACGGAGCCGGGCUGGG